rnacentral:rRNA from 1 species
GAGUUUGAUCCUGGCUCAGGAUGAACGCUGGCGGCGUGCUUAACACAUGCAAGUCGAACGGGAAACCUUUUAUUGAAGCUUCGGCAGAUUUAGAUUGUUUCUAGUGGCGGACGGGUGAGUAACGCGUGAGGAACCUGCCUCAUACAGGGGGAUAACAGUUAGAAAUGGCUGCUAAUACCGCAUAAGCGCACGGUACUGCAUGGUACAGUGUGAAAAACUCCGGUGGUAUGAGAUGGACCCGCGUUGGAUUAGCUAGUUGGCAGGGUAACGGCCUACCAAGGCGACGAUCCAUAGCCGGCCUGAGAGGGUGGACGGCCACAUUGGGACUGAGACACGGCCCAGACUCCUACGGGAGGCAGCAGUGGGGAAUAUUGCACAAUGGGGGAAACCCUGAUGCAGCGACGCCGCGUGAGCGAAGAAGUAUUUCGGUAUGUAAAGCUCUAUCAGCAGGGAAGAAAAUGACGGUACCUGACUAAGAAGCCCCGGCUAACUACGUGCCAGCCGCCGCGGUAAUUC